rnacentral:rRNA from 1 species
GACGAACGCUGGCGGCGUGCCUAAUACAUGCAAGUCGAACGCUGAAGGAGGAGCUUGCUUCUCUGGAUGAGUUGCGAACGGGUGAGUAACGCGUAGGUAACCUGCCUGGUAGCGGGGGAUAACUAUUGGAAACGAUAGCUAAUACCGCAUAAUAGCAGUUGUUGCAUGACAACUGUUUGAAAGGUGCAAUUGCACCACUACCAGAUGGACCUGCGUUGUAUUAGCUAGUUGGUGGGGUAACGGCUCACCAAGGCGACGAUACAUAGCCGACCUGAGAGGGUGAUCGGCCACACUGGGACUGAGACACGGCCCAGACUCCUACGGGAGGCAGCAGUAGGGAAUCUUCGGCAAUGGACGGAAGUCUGACCGAGCAACGCCGCGUGAGUGAAGAAGGUUUUCGGAUCGUAAAGCUCUGUUGUAAGAGAAGAACGAGUGUGAGAGUGGAAAGUUCACACUGUGACGGUAGCUUAACAGAAAGGGACGGCUAACUACGUG